ACACAGCAGAUUAUACAUGUAUCAUCAGGAGAAAGAUCAUCUUCAUCCCGAAAGGAAACCAUCAGAUCCAGUGGUUGGGUGAGCAGCUUGGACCAGGAAGCGUCCUGGAAGCAGCCCUGUGUCGUGGGGAAAGCAGAUCGGCCAAUUAGACAAAGCCUGUGUACUCUGCUGCACAGUGUGGGGCUGAUUCGAUCAGAGAGCCAGCCUCUCACAGCUCUGCGUCUUUGGACAUUGCAGGUAAUUACCCAUAAGUCACUACUCCCCCCUGUAUUGGAUCUUCAGGCCAAUUACGCCCACGCUAGCUGCCCACCCUGCCCUCGUUUAUUGCUUCUGCUUGCUUGUUCCACUUUUUCAGAGGAGCAUUCUCAAUGGUCAUUCAGCUCCAUUACAGGGAUGAGUUGCUGUAGCGAUGGUUCUGGAGGCUGGAAGAUGGAAGGUGCUUUUUAUAGGUGGAAGAGGAUGCCUUGACCCCAUUACGUAACUCAUUAAGUAUAUGUGCUGUGAACAGGCCAAACUUAGGCCUCAGAGGUAAGGCACUGGUCGUUUGUGAUACAUGCUACAGUGUUAACAUGAGGAAAGAAAGAGAAUAAACACUGGUCACAUUUAUUGGUUUAUUCGUUCCCCAUGAGCUUUCUCCAAACUAUUCUUUCUGGGGUCCACACAAAAACACAAAACACUAUAAGUAACAAAACACUGAUACACUGAUAGACAAGUACAGUCACGCACAUUUUAAAUACGAUAUACAAACAAUACAACUAAAGAAUAAUGUGUGUUAGUGUCUGUGUGUGUUUGUUUGUGUGUGUGUUAUUUCACAGUCUCUAUUGUGCCAUGUUGUUUUGUAAAAAAAAUGUAAUUUUGCUGUUUGUUUCUGAAAACUUGUUGCAAAUGAGUCACCCAUGAUUCACCAAAUUAUAUUUUGAAAGGGGAAGCAAAGUACUUUAAGCAUAUGUUUAGUUUCAGUCAUCUCCAUCUCGUCUAACCGAAGCUAAUUGUCUGGAUUUUUUUUUCUAUUAAUAAUGUAAAAUUAACAGCCGUACAGAAAGACUCAUGUGAAGGCGAAAUUACAGAGGAGGUACUUCUUGACGCAAUUAAAGCCUUUAAAUCCGGGAAAACUCCAAGGCUGGAUGGCGUACGAGUUGAGAUAUAGCAAACCUUUUUUUGAAAUACUCAGAGGGACGUUAUUAGCAUGUUUUAACCACUCCUAUGUACAUGGUAGAUUAUCAGACACUCAACAAGAAGGUCUGAUUUUCAUUAUUACUGAAACAGGUGUUGUUACACUUCAGUAUUGUGAUGCAAAAAAUUCGAGCAAAAUGUAUAGGGUGUAGAAUUAAAAAGGUUUUGUCGGACAUUAUUCAUUCUAAUCAGACAGAUACAUUGGAGAUAAUGUAAGGCAAGUACUGGAAACAAUAUAACACUAUGACAAAACUGGGAAACAAGGUCUGCUAUUGAUAACUGACUUAGAAAAGGCUUUUGAUAAAGUACGCCUGGAGUUUAUAUAUAAAUGCCUGGAACAUUUCAAUUUUGGAGAAUCUAUUAUAAAAUGGGUUAAAAUCAUGUAUUGUAACCCUAGGUGUAAAAUAAUAAAUAAUGGAUACUUCUCAGAAAGUUUUAAACUGUCAAGAGCAGUAAAACAAGGUUGUCCACUAUCAGCACAUCUAUUUACUAUGGCCAUCAACAUUUUAGCUAUUACAAUUAGAUCCAACAAUAAUAUCAAGGGAUUAGAAAUCCAGGCCCUAAAAACAAAGGUGUCAUUGUACGCUGAUUAUAGUUUUUUUUAAAUCCACAACUUGGAUCCCUCCACAGCCUCAGAGGAUCUAGAUCAUUUUUCUAACCUCUCUAACCUCUCUACGAAUUGAUCACAAUUUUUUUUUUAAACUUUUACAUGGUUACCAAUUGAACGACAUCUAUUGCAAGGUAAAUCAAUGUUCAAAGUUUAUAUAGCUGGCCAUAUAUGGAUGUUAAAAUGUACUUUAUGGGUUGGUUAAGUCAGUCUUCUAAACCAUCACUUUCUACUACAUGUGAUUAAAUUAUAUACCUUAAAAACUAAAGUGUAUUAGAAUUCCAGCCAUUCCAAUAAAUGUUAUACCCCUUGAUCUUCAAGAAUAGGACUUGGAAGUAUAGAUUAGCCAAAUUGUUUAACCCAAAACGAAGCACUUAUUAGCCAGCACUAUUCUGUUGUUUAUGAUUUUGUUGUCAUGGAGGACUGAUUGGGCUCAGUGAUUCAAGUUUACAAAUAAAUGCUGCACUCAUGGAAUGACAUGCUUUGAGCACUACUGAAAAGUGCUAUUUACAUGUGAAAAAUGAAUUUCAUAAGCUGCAUUUGCUAUAGGCCUAUUGUUUACCUUUUUGUUGGUGACACUUUGAUAUCUUGAUAAUAUGCAGCUGUUUAAAGGGAAAAUCCAAAGAUGAAACAAUAACAAAACGGUCGUCCUACCUCUGUUUUGGUAAAAAGCUGAGGAAUGGGCCUGGAGAAAUGUAACCACUCUCAGAUUAAGACAGAGCUAUGAAUGCAAUUACUGACCAUCCAUGAUUUAAAAAUGAUUGUUUUGACCAUGUUAUGAGGCUACAUUUACAAUGUUUACAAACAUUGGGGGAAAACAAGCUUAUAUUUUUGGUUCUCAUGGAGUGUGACAGUUGAACUCAUGAGGCAUUUAUAUUCUUCAAGAAUCAAUGGAUAUAUACACUAACGUUCAUAAGUUUAGGGGCACUUAGAAAUGUCCUGGUUUUAGAAAGGAAAUCACAUUUGUCCCAUUAAAAUAACAGAAAAUUGAUCAGAAAUACAGUGUUGCCAUUGUUAAUGUUGUAAAUUACUAUUGUAACUGGAAAUGUCUACAGUUGAAGUCGGAGGUUUACAUACACCUUAGCCAAAUACAUUUAAACUGUUUUUCACAAUUCCUGACAUUACAUUCUCGUAAAAGAAAUCCCUGUUUUAGGUCAGUUAGGAUCACCACUUUAUUUUUAGAAUGUGAAAUGUCAGAAUAAUAGUAGAGAGAAUUAUUUAUUUCAACUUUUAUUUCUUUCAUCACAUUCCCCAGUAGUUCAAAAGUUUACAUACACUCAAUUAUUAUUUGGUAGCAUUGCCUUAAAUUGUUUGACUUGGGUCAAAUGUUUCAGGUAGCCUUCCCCAAGCAUCCUACAAUAAGUUGGGUGAAUUUUGUCCCAUUCCUCCUGACAGAGCUGGUGUAACUGAAUAAGGAUUGUAGGCCUCUUUGCUCGCACACGCUUUUUCAGUUCUACCCACAAAUGUUCUAUAGGAUUGAGGUCAUGGCUUUGUGAUGGCCACUCCAAUACCUUGACCUUGUUGUCCUUAAGCCAUUUUGCCACAACUGUGAAGUAUGCUUGGGGUCAUGGAGUGGUUGAAAAACGAGUUUUAAUGACUCUAACAAAAGUGUAUGUAAACGUCCAACUUCAAGUGUGUGUGUGUGUGUGUGUGUGUGUGUGUGUGUGUAUGGAUGUAGCAACUACAGAUUGCCCCUUUUAAGUAUAUCAAAAGUGUGCAAGCUUCCAUUUGGUGUCCAUUAGACAUAUGGAUUUUUUUUUCAUUAGCAUCAAUUAGAUUGAGCAAUAAAAUCCCUAAUUUAUUCCAUAGGCUUGGAUCCGCACUAUGCAGCUGUUGCAAAAUCUAGUUUUCAAAAGUAUCUGUAAUCUGAUUACAAUAUUUUUGCUGGUAACGUAACGAUUUACCGUUACCGUUUUUUGUAAUCCCUUACACGUAAUUAAUUACAUGUAAUCCAUUACUCCCCAACCCUGUUGAUGGGUUAGAAUCGAUUUUCCAGCUCUGCAACACUAACUUGACCAAAUUCAAAAUAGCAUUGUUACUGUAGAUCUUGUAUACACAAAUAUGAUGAUUCAAUGUUGGCAUUUCACUUCUGAGUUCUACUAGUGAAAUAGUAAUUGGAAUGAUUGGCACUAUCUGAAGGUUUUGUUAUAAGUGAUCCCAUCAACUUUUCUGCCCAUAAUAUAAUUGAAGGUACUGCAAAGUCUUUUCCCAUUGUGUUUUGUCGUUUAUCUUGGUUUGGUAAUAUAAUUUAAUAUUUUUUGUUAAGUUUAGUCACAAAAUCCCAACGGGACAGUAAAAUGUCAAAAUGUCUCAAUUGAUUGUUUGCCAACUCUUUUACCUAAUUUCU
rnacentral:lncRNA from 13 species